GAACGCUGGCGGCACGCCUCACACAUGCAAGUCGAACGGGGUCCAUCCACCCGCAAGAGUGGUGUAGACCUAGUGGCGAACGGGUGAGUAACACGUGAGAAACCUGCCCCGAAGACCGGGAUAACUCACCGAAAGGUGAGCUAAUACCGGAUGCCUUCACGACGUCUCAUGGCGAUGUGAAGAAAUGGAUUCCGCUUCGGGAGGGUCUCGCGGCCUAUCAGCUUGUUGGUGAGGUAACGGCUCACCAAGGCGACGACGGGUAGCUGUUCUGAGAGGAAGAUCAGCCACACUGGGACUGAGACACGGCCCAGACUCCUACGGGAGGCAGCAGUGGGGAAUCUUGCGCAAUGGGCGAAAGCCUGACGCAGCGAUGCCGCGUGCGGGAAGACGGCCUUCGGGUUGUAAACCGCUUUCAGCAGGGACGAAAUUGACGGUACCUGCAGAAGAAGCUCCGGCCAACUACGUGCCAGCAGCCGCGGUAAGACGUAGGGGGCGAGCGUUGUCCGGAAUUAUUGGGCGUAAAGGGCUCCUAGGCGGUUCAGUAAGUCGACUGUGAAAAUCCAAGGCUCAACCUUGGGACGCCAGUCGAUACUGCUGUGACUCGAGUUCGGUAGAGGAGUGUGGAAUUCCUGGUGUAGCGGUGAAAUGCGCAGAUAUCAGGAGGAACACCAACGGCGAAGGCAGCACUCUGGGCCGAUACU
rnacentral:rRNA from 1 species